UGCCCUUGGCCACCGUAUCGGAACUCCCGUUGUAGGAGCCCUCACCGGCGAGCUUCUCCUCGUCCCCGGUGAUCGGAUCCGCCGCCGCAGGGUCCCUGCUCCCGGCGCCGACCGUUGCCCCGUCGGGGUUGCGGUCCGUCGCGGCGUCGGAAUCCUGGGCGACCUUCGGCCCCGUGGAGUUCGACUCAUUGCAGGAACGGCCGAUGUCCCCGUUUGAGGCGCAGUCCGCGGCGGCGUUCUCCGUCGAGCGCGUCGGCGACUCGGCGCCUUUCUUCUUCCCCUCGGCCUCCGGCGGAUCCGGCGCUCGUUCGCCGGAAUGCUGCUCCUCAGAGAGCGUCCGUUCGCGGUCUGCUUUGAGCUCUUUCACUUUCAAUUGGAG
rnacentral:lncRNA from 1 species